GCUUGUCUCAAAGAUUAAGCCAUGCAUGUCUAAGUAUAAACACUUUAUACCGUGAAACUGCAGAUGGCUCAUUAAAUCAGUUAUAAUUUAUUUGAUGAUCAACUUACUACAUGGAUAACCGUAGUAAUUCUAGAGCUAAUACAUGCGCCAAGUCCCGUCUCACGUCGGGAUGUAUUUAUUAGAUUUCAAUCAACACUUUUUGCUGACUCAUGAUAACUUAGCGGAUCGCAGAGGCCUCGCGCCGGCGACAAAUCAUUCAAGUUUCUGCCCUAUCAGCUUUCGAUGGUAGUGUAUUGGACUACCAUGGCAUUCACGGGUAACGGAGGAUUAGGGUUCGAUUCCGGAGAGGGAGCCUGAGAAAUGGCUACCACAUCCAAGGAAGGCAGCAGG
rnacentral:rRNA from 1 species